rnacentral:lncRNA from 1 species
AUGAAUUCUGUGGGGUUUGUUCAGCUCUUGCAAAUGGAAGCUGCGGUUGUUCCUGAACACACCAAAGGAAUAACCACAGGGAAAAAUUUCCUAAGGAAAGUCUUGGACCAAAUUCAAGGAAGAACCCAAUCUUAAAGCUGGCUAACCUUUUGGUGUUGACACAUUUGUCAAAGUUCUGAAAGAUUCUUAAAACUACUGAAAGCAAGUAGCAAGAGAAGCAUUCUCUGCACAGACUUAGACACAUCCAGAUUUUUUUAACAAGUAAGCGAAUUAACAAGGUGUAGAUUUACUUUCACAGGUCAGUUUCCUAACUUAAACUGAUGCUGAUAUGUGUGUCUGCUAAGUGGACAUGUACAUCUUUCAGGACUUAAAGAUUCUUGAGUUUGUAAUCAACAAGUAUAUAAAGCACUAUCCACUUGCUAUCUCCCUUUUCUCAGUUCUACUUCAGUCUUGCAGAUAAAGAUUCUCUGUUUACAGUUUUAAAAAUCCAAGGGAUUAAUAUGCAAAAUGAAACAGGUGAGUGGAAAAAGGCCAAGAAAGUGAAAGCCAAACCAAGUGAAGUAAUAUUUUCCAGUCACACAUUUUACUUUUGUACUGUUGCAAUUUUUGUUUAAGCAUGCCAGUUUUUUCAUCAUUUUAUGCCAAUUCCUAAAAGGAAACUUCCAUAACCAGAUGUGGAAAAGGUGUUUAUUUAAAGGAGAAAAAAAGUAAGCUAGAGCAUAAACACAAUGAUGAUUGGUGGACCUUUUCCCCCUAAAGUCUUCCGUUUUUAUUGACAGCAGUCACUAAAGUUUACUGCCCCUCAUAAAGGGAAAAGAAGUCAAGAUCAUUGAAGCAGGCAAGAAUUACCUGAGAGUGGGAUGAGAAGGGUGAUAAAAUAUUUAAUUAGGGGGAAAAAGAGUACAUUACAAAAUAGGAGACUGAAGUAUUAAAAGAAAUCUGAAUGAAGUCUAAAAUGAUAGUACCUGAACAGGAAAAGCAGUAGUUACCAUAUGGAGCUAGAAGAAGGUGGAAAAUAGGUAGGAUAUUCCCUUUGCAAAUAUACAUUUUUUUAAUGCUUUUGACUUUUGGCACAACACUGGUCUUGCACAUGAUGCUGGCAGCUUCUUUCUAUCUUGAGCAGAAGUCACAGAGU